rnacentral:misc_RNA from 1 species
AAAGUGCGAGAACUAAGGUGAUCUGCAUUUAGCGCGAAUCCUUAAAAUUUUGAACACAUAAUGUGGCCUUCGGAUAAAACCGACUGGCUGUAUUUGGUUGAGCGCCUUAUAAUACUAAAGUCGCAACAUGUAAAUGUUGGGUGACACAGUGGUUGGAUACUUUAAGUAAUAUUCUAGCCUAAAGAAAGAUAACAGAUGAGGAAGUAUAUCUUCGGACGAACAUCUUAGACUUUGACCUAGUCGUUCUCAGUAUAAUCUAGAGAGGUAAACUAGUGGAAAGAACUAAGAUUCCUAACUUGUUAUUUUUAAAAUUAAAAGGCCUCAGCUCAAGUACGACUACCCGCUGAAUUUAA